rnacentral:tRNA from 2 species
ACGCUUUUAGCUCAGUGGUCAAGCGUUGGCUUUGGAAGCCACAGAUCGGUGGUUCGAACCCACUAGGGCCCC